rnacentral:rRNA from 1 species
AUUAAAUCAGUUAUCGUUUAUUUGAUAGUACCUUACUACUUGGAUACCCGUGGUAAUUCUAGAGCUAAUACAUGCUAAAAACCCCAACUUCGGGAGGGGUGUGUUUAUUAGAUAAAAAACCAACGCCCUUCGGGGCUCCUUGGUGAUUCAUGAUAACCUCUCAGAUCGCACGGCCUUGCGCUGGCGACGGUUCAUUCAAAUUUCUGCCCUAUCAACUUUCGAUGGUAAGGUAUUGGCUUACCAUGGUUUCAACGGGUAACGGGGAAUUAGGGUUCGAUUCCGGAGAGUGAGCCUGAGAAACGGCUCACACAUCCAAGGAAGGCAGCAGGCGCGCAAAUUACCCAAUCCCGACACGGGGAGGUAGUGACAAUAAAUACUGAUACAGGGCUCUUUUGGGUCUUGUAAUUGGAAUGAGUACAAUUUAAACCUCUUAACGAGGAACAAUUGGAGGGCAAGUCUGGUGCCAGCAGCCGCGGUAAUUCCAGCUCCAAUAGCGUAUAUUAAAGUUGUUGCAGUUAAAAAGCUCGUAGUUGAAUCUUUGGCCUGGCUGGCGGGUCCGCCUCACCGCGUGCACUUGUCCGGCCGGGCCUUCUCUUCUGGAGAACCGCAUGCCCUUCACUGGGCGUGUUGGGGACCAGGACUUUUACUUUGAAAAAAUUAGAGUGUUCAAAGCAGGCCUUUGCUCGAAUACGUUAGCAUGGAAUAAUAAAAUAGGACGUGCGGUCCUAUUUUGUUGGUUUCUAGGACCGCCGUAAUGAUUAAUAGGGACAGUCGGGGGCAUCAGUAUUCAAUUGUCAGAGGUGAAAUUCUUGGAUUUAUUGAAGACUAACUACUGCGAAAGCAUUUGCCAAGGAUGUUUUCAUUAAUCAGUGAACGAAAGUUAGGGGAUCGAAGACGAUCAGAUACCGUCGUAGUCUUAACCAUAAACUAUGCCGACUAGGGAUCGGGCGGUGUUAUCGAUUUGACCCGCUCGGCACCUUACGAGAAAUUCAA